GCGCUGUGAGGCGUUGAGCUAACCAAUGCUAAUUGCCCGUGAGGCUUGACCAUAUAACACCCAAGCAAUU
rnacentral:rRNA from 1 species